rnacentral:lncRNA from 1 species
UGCUUUUCAGAUAUGCAACGCUCCUGUGGAUAUAUCUGCUGUCUGGAGUCUUCCCCAGUGCUGACAUGGCCUUCAUCUCCUACGUCUUCCUGAACUUCAUCUUUGGAAUCUGCACCCUGCUGAUGACCAUCAUGCCAUGGCUGCUGGCCAUCAUCUCCAAAGCCCAGAAUUUGCAGAACAUCUAUGACACCCUGAAGUGGGUCUUCACGAUUUUCCUCCAGUUCUG